AGAGUUUGAUCCUGGCUCAGAACGAACGCUGGCGACGUGGAUUAGGCAUGCAAGUCGAACGGGAUUCUUAAGUUUCAAUCCUUCGGGAGAGAGACUUUUGAUGAGAGUGGCGAACGGGUGAGGAACACGUGGGUAAGCUACCCUUAAGCUGGGGAUAGCCCUCCGAAAGGAGGGGUAACACCGAAUGUGGUAUUCCAACGCAUGUUGGAUGAUCUAAAGAUGGGGAUCUUCGGACCUAUCACUUAAGGAUGUGCCCGCGUACUAUCAGCUUGUUGGUGAGGUAACGGCUCACCAAGGCUCUGACGGUUAGCUGGUCUGAGAGGAUGGUCAGCCACACUGGGACUGAGACACUGCCCAGACUCCUACGGGAGGCUGCAGUCGAGAAUCAUUCGCAAUGCACGAAAGUGUGACGAUGCGACGUCGCGUGGAGGAUGAAGGACUUCGGUUCGUAAACUCCUGUCAGAAGGGAACAAUAGUUUCACGAUUAAUACUCGUGAGAUGUGAUGGUACCUUCAGAGGAAGCCACGGCUAACUCUGUGCCAGCAGCCGCGGUAAUACAGAGGUGGCGAGCGUUGUUCGGAUUUACUGGGCGUAAAGGGUGUGUAGGCUGCUUUGUGUGUCGAAUGUGAAAGCCCACGGCUCAACCGUGGAAAUGCAUCCGAAACUACAGGCUAGAGUACUGGAGAGGAGAGCGGAAU
rnacentral:rRNA from 1 species